CGACCUCUGGGCUAGAAUGUGUCAAGUACUAAGUAAUAUGACUCUCGGGUUAGGGUUAGGUUUACAAAAGACAGUCUUUGACACGCUUGUUUUCUAUUUGCGUCAUUGAGUUGCUUGAGUGUAGUUCACUUUUACGACACCGGAGGGGGCAUUGAACACAUCAUUACUUCCGCCAGCUCUGAAAGUUACGGUGAACUUCGAUGUCAUUUGUUUAAUUGGCAGUGUGCGUCAAUACAAAGUGCACCUUGCGGGCCAGCUGCUCGCGGGUCCCGACAUCCGGGUACUUGGUCUCCUGGAAGAGCCCCUCCAGGGCCUCCAGCUGCUCGUCGGUGAAGAUGGUCCUGUGUCGCCGCUUCCUGCGACAGUGCAGCUGGUUGAGGAGCUGCAGCUCGCUGCGGGACAAACUGCUCAUGUUGACGUAGGACAUCAGCUGCUGCGGGACCGGAGACACCAGCACCGAACCCUCGUAGCCUGCGUGAUCAGGUGUAACGCUGGGGUCGCAUUUUACUGUGCGGAUCAUUCUCCCAAGAUGCAGCAGGAGCUCCGGAGGCACAGUGCAGACAACUCUUACCUGCAAUCCUGCUGACUGGUCGUUGUGCAUCCACGAAGUGGCAACUUCGCUCAGCAAGUGCGCCGCAAAAACGUGACACAGACAUGGCACAGAGAUGUAUGGAUAACCUGCAGAUGCAUUUGCAACGAUAAAGUCAACGAAAUCA